GAUCGAUUGGGGAAAUUCAUUCGCGUUUCGAUUUCGAAGUCGAACGUUCGAGCGACGGAUAGGAACGCAUUCAUGUAUUCCGACCGCGCUCAUCGUUUUUCUGAUCGAUUUCGAACGCGUGCACUUUUCCCCUAGUAGGAAGUCGCGACCCGUUGGGCGUUUGUCUAAAAGUCGAAGUGGAGACCGCGCGACAUUACGCCGUGAGGACCUUCGAAUCUUCGACAAACUCACUCGACGGUAUACUGAAGGCGCGAGGCCGCUAAAAUCGUACGAGUUCUUUCGAAUUCGUGCGACAGAAUUAGCGUUCGGCCCGCGGCAAGCACUUGUCGUAUAAUAAGACGGUCAUCGGACCCAGUGCCGAUCCCGUCGCGACAAGACUGUUGGCUGCGGUGUUCUCGGACAGACCUCGU
rnacentral:rRNA from 1 species